CGUCACCGACCAAUUCGCCGACUAUUUUUGACAACAUUAGGAACGCCUUUAAUCCGUUCACAGUUCACCGAACGCAGCCGCCAGCAGAACCCUAUCCUCGGGCCCGCGUUGUCCGUCCGUCGCGGUGAACAACUGGCCCCUCUCCCACUGCGGCUAGCCGCCGGUGCAACCAGAUUAGUUCUGUUCGGCCGGCCGUCCGUUCCCGGAAACUCCAGCAGACCCAUCCGGCCCGGAGUAAUGGAGGCUCUGCGGGCAUGGAGGGCCUCCAAUCUCCUCGGCUUCGCGGCCUCCCGCGCCGUCACCGCCGCCUCCGCGGCGAGGCCACUCCGCCUCCGUUGCUGCUCUGCGGCUGCCCCCACGACGAACCAGAAGCAGCCGCCGCCGCCGCCGCUGCCUCAGGACCGUCGUCGCCGCAGUACCUCCACCUCCACCUCCGACCGCGACUCCAUCCGCGCCAUCCGCCUCAAAAAGGUUGAGGAGCUAAGAGGAAAGGGUUAUGAGCCAUAUGCGUACAAGUGGGAUAGGACUCACACGACUAAGGAGCUUCAGGAAGAGUACACCCAUCUUGAAAAUGGUGAAGUCUGUGAGGAGGCAGCGGUCUCCAUUGCCGGCAGGAUUGUUGCCCGAAGGGCAUUUGGAAAGCUUGUUUUCAUGACUGUAAGAGAUGAUACUGGGACUAUUCAGCUUUACUGCGAGAAAGACAACCUUACAGAGGAACAAUUUGAGCAACUGAAGGCAUUUAUUGAUAUUGGUGAUAUCUUAGGUGCAAGUGGAUCCAUAAAGAAGACAGAGAAAGGGGAACUAUCUCUUUAUAUGAAAAAUUUUGAGAUCCUCACAAAAUCCUUACUCCCACUCCCAGACAAGUAUCAUGGGUUAACUGAUGUCGACAAACGUUAUCGUCAAAGGUAUGUUGACAUGAUCGCAAAUCCUGAGGUUGCUGAUGUAUUCCGAACUAGAGCAAAGGUGGUUUCUGAAAUCCGCAAGACAAUGGAAUCAUUUGGUUUCAUUGAAGUUGAAACUCCAGUUCUACAGGGAGCAGCAGGUGGUGCUGAAGCUAGACCUUUCAUAACCUACCAUAACUCACUUCAAAGAGAUCUUUACUUGAGGAUUGCAACAGAGCUGCAUUUGAAAAGGAUGUUGGUUGGAGGGCUUGAGAGGGUAUACGAGAUUGGAAGAAUUUUCCGGAAUGAAGGCAUCUCUACUCGUCAUAAUCCUGAAUUUACCACCAUUGAGAUAUAUGAAGCAUAUUCAGACUACGAAAGCAUGAUGAAUAUGGCUGAAGAAAUUGUUGUUCGAUGUGCGAUGGCUACUCAUGGCAAGCUUAAGGUUGAUUAUCAGGGAACUGAAAUUUCUCUCGAAAGACCAUGGAGGAGGGAGACCAUGCAUUCUCUUGUCAAAGAAGCAACUGGAAUCGACUUCAACAGCUUCGGCCAAGAUGUUGAAUCUGCUAAAAGUGCUGCAAGAGGACUGCCAGGGAUCAAAGUAGGAAGCAGUGAAAGUACUUCACUGCAAUCCUGUUCAUCUGUUGGACAUGUUCUUAACAAGGUUUUUGAGACUUUUGUUGAAUCUACUCUUGUACAACCAACAUUUGUCCUUGACUACCCAGUUGAGAUAUCUCCAUUGGCAAAACCACAUCGGAGUUAUGCUGGCCUUACUGAACGAUUUGAACUUUUUAUAUGUGGUCGUGAAAUUGGCAAUGCAUUUUCUGAGCUCACAGACCCAAUUGAUCAGAGGAGCCGUUUUGAAAAUCAAAUAAAACAGCACAAUGCUAAACGUGCUGCAAGGGCUAAGGUCAAAUCUACUGAGGAUCAAGGAGAUGAGGAUGAUUAUUCCUAUGAAGUUUGUUUAGAUGAAGACUUCUUAACUUCAUUAGAAUAUGGAAUGCCACCAGCAUCAGGAAUGGGCCUGGGUAUCGACCGGUUAGUAAUGCUUUUGACGAACUCUGCCAGCAUAAGGGAUGUUAUUGCCUUUCCUGUCUUGAAGAUUCAGCAAUAGAUCGAUCCUUCAUUUGAGUUUAAGAUAUAUUAUCUGCAAUAUACCUGGCCAAUCUCUCUCAAAAGCGAUCUGUUAUUUCUGGUGGGUUCAAUCUCCAUGCUGCAGAUUGGGUGUAAGACCCGACUUCUCUCGUCGAUGGAACGUACAAGUUGGUGCCCGUGUCCGAGAGUGAGCAGCGUGAAGCUAAUCUUAAUUUAACUGAAGUUAUUGAAGACCCGAACCAAAGUUGAGAAGAGCCCAAGGCUAGUUUUGCUCAAGAAGGCAAGCCCGGAAGCAUGAACCCUAUUUUCGAUCUAUGCAAUGUUAUUACUUCUAUGUAUUUAUGCAUUUAAGUUUAUAAGAGUUUAUUGAAACCUUAGCUGCAUGAUCCUAGUACCUAUGCUUGAACACUAGUAUGUAUAUGACGCUAGAUUGCUAUGCUAAUAGGGUUUUGGUAAAAGAUGAGUGAUUGCCUGUCAUUCGCGAGAUAUAUGAGUUGCUUGUUUAAUUA